rnacentral:rRNA from 1 species
GAAAAGAAACCAACAGGGAUUGCCCUAGUAACGGCGAGUGAAGCGGCAACAGCUCAAAUUUGAAAGCUGGCUCCGGCCCGCGUUGUAAUUUGCAGAGGAUGCUUUUGGCGAGGUGCCUUCCGAGUUCCCUGGAACGGGACGCCAUAGAGGGUGAGAGCCCCGUAUGGAUGGACACCAGACCUGUGUAAAGCUCCUUCAACGAGUCGAGUAGUUUGGGAAUGCUGCUCUAAAUGGGAGGUAAAUCUCUUCUAAAGCUAAAUACCGGCCAGAGACCGAUAGCGCACAAGUAGAGUGAUCGAAAGAUGAAAAGCACCUUGAAAAGGGGGUUAAACAGUACGUGAAAUUGUUGAAAGGGAAGCAUUUAUGACCAGACUUGCGCCGGGCAGCUCAUCAGGGGUUCUCCCCUGUGCACUCUGCCCGGCUCAGGCCAGCAUCGGUUCUCGCGGGGGGAUAAGAACAGCGGGAACGUGGCCCCCCUCCGGGGGGGUGUUAUAGCCCGCUGUACGAUACUCUCGUGGGGACCGAGGUUCGCGCUCCGCAAGGAUGCUGGCGUAAUGGUCAUCAAUGACCCGUCUUGAAACACGGACCAAGGAGUCGUCCAUUAGAGCGAGCGUUUGGGUGUAAAACCCGCACGCGUAAUGAAAGUGAACGCAGGUGAGAGCUUCGGCGCAUCAUCGACCGAUCCUGAUGUCUUCGGAUGGAUUUGAGUAAGAGUUUUAACGGACGGACCCGAAAGACAGUGAACUAUGCUUGUAUAGGGUGAAGCCAGAGGAAACUCUGGUGGAGGCUCGCAGCGGUUCUGACGUGCAAAUCGAUCGUCAAAUAUGAGCAUGGGGGCGAAAGACUAAUCGAACUGUCUAGUAGCUGGUUACCGCCGAAGUUUCCCUCAGGAUAGCAGUGUUGUUCUUCAGUUUUAUGAGGUAAAGCGAAUGAUUAGGGACUCGGGGGCGCUUAUUAGCCUUCAUCCAUUCUCAAACUUUAAAUAUGUAAGAAGCCCUUGUUACUUAAUUGAACGUGGGCAUUCGAAUGUACCAACACUAGUGGGCCAUUUUUGGUAAGCAGAACUGGCGAUGCGGGAUGAACCGAACGCGGGGUUAAGGCGCCAGAGUGUACGCUCAUCAGACACCACAAAAGGCGUUAGUACAUCUUGACAGCAGGACGGUGGCCAUGGAAGUCGGAAUCCGCUAAGGACUGUGUAACAACUCACCUGCCGAAUGUACUAGCCCUGAAAAUGGAUGGCGCUCAAGCGUACCGCCCAUACCCCGCCCUCAGGGUAGAAACGAUGCCCUGAGGAGUAGGCGGCCGUGGGGGUCAGUGACGAAGC